GACGAACGCUGGCGGCGUGCUUAACACAUGCAAGUCGAACGAAGUGGCGAACGGGUGAGUAACGCGUAAUCAACCUGCCCUUCAGAGGGGGACAACAGUUGGAAACGACUGCUAAUACCACAUACUGAAGGAGGGGAUUGCGUCUGAUUAGCUAGUUGGAGGGGUAACGGCCCACCAAGGCGAAGAUCAGUAGCCGGGCUUGGAGGCUGAACGGCCACAUUUGGACUGGUACCCGGCCCAGACUCCUACAGGAGGCAGCAGUGGGGGAUCUUCCGCCAUGGACGAAAGGCUUGCGGAGCAACGCCGCGUGAGUGAUGACGGCCUUCGGGUUGUAAAGCUCUGUUAAUCGGGGCGCGGUACCGGAAUAGAAAGCCACGGCUAACUACGUGCCAGCAGCCGCGGUAAUUC
rnacentral:rRNA from 1 species